rnacentral:lncRNA from 12 species
CGGGAGGCCGAUGGGGUGGGUGCGACGGGAGCCCCAAGAACCCCGGGAGGCCCGCAGGCCAGCCUGACUCAGGCUCUUGUCGUCGGGGCCAAGCCUGACGGCAACUGCAUGCUGCGCCAGGAGCCUGCCCUCACCCACUGAGCUCCUCUCGGUGCCGGAGACCUUUCUACCAACCGACGCCCUUCACCUGACCUUCUGGCUCGGUCCUUCCAGUACCAGGUCUCGUGCCAGGUGCCCGGGGUCGGGGCCCUGCCUGCACAGAGCUCUCGGCCUUGCCCACCUUCUAGCGAGGACCCACGCGAGCCGGCCGUCACCAUGAAGCACCAUAAAGGCUGUGCGAUUCCCAGAAGCCUGCCCCCAGAAAUUCCAUCUCAGCAUAUGCCCUGGCCUCACCACGUCGUCAGUGCUGAGACGUGUUGACAACACGAAGAAUUUCCACCCACGGAGACUUGUG